UGGGGAAUCUUGGACAAUGGGCGCAAGCCUGAUCCAGCCAUGCCGCGUGAGUGACGAAGGCCUUAGGGUUGUAAAGCUCUUUUGGCGGGGAAGAUAAUGACGGUACCCGCAGAAUAAGCUCCGGCUAACUUCGUGCCAGCAGCCGCGGUAAUACGAAGGGAGCUAGCGUUGUUCGGAAUCACUGGGCGUAAAGCGCACGUAGGUGGGCAGUUAAGUCAGGGGUGAAAGCCCGAGGCUCAACCUCGGAAUUGCCUCUGAUACUGGCUGUCUAGAGUUCGAGAGAGGUGAGUGGAAUUCCUAGUGUAGAGGUGAAAUUCGUAGAUAUUAGGAAGAACACCGGUGGCGAAGGCGGCUCACUGGCUCGAUACUGACACUGAGGUGCGAAAGCGUGGGGAGCAAACAGGAUUAGAUACCCACGUAGUCCCUGAGCGGGCUGGCAAGGCGCAU
rnacentral:rRNA from 1 species